rnacentral:rRNA from 1 species
UGCUGGAGGUAUCAGAAGUGCGAAUGCUGACAUAAGUAACGAUAAAGCGGGUGAAAAGCCCGCUCGCCGGAAGACCAAGGGUUCCUGUCCAACGUUAAUCGGGGCAGGGUGAGUCGACCCCUAAGGCGAGGCCGAAAGGCGUAGUCGAUGGGAAACAGGUUAAUAUUCCUGUACUUGGUGUUACUGCGAAGGGGGGACGGAGAAGGCUAUGUUGGCCGGGCGACGGUUGUCCCGGUUUAAGCGUGUAGGCUGGUUUUCCAGGCAAAUCCGGAAAACCAAGGCUGAGGCGUGAUGACGAGGCACUACGGUGCUGAAGUGACAAAUGCCCUGCUUCCAGGAAAAGCCUCUAAGCAUCAGGUAACAUCAAAUCGUACCCCAAACCGACACAGGUGGUCAGGUAGAGAAUACCAAGGCGCUUGAGAGAACUCGGGUGAAGGAACUAGGCAAAAUGGUGCCGUAACUUCGGGAGAAGGCACGCUGAUAUGUAGGUGAAGCGACUUGCUCGUGGAGCUGAAAUCAGUCGAAGAUACCAGCUGGCUGCAACUGUUUAUUAAAAACACAGCACUGUGCAAACACGAAAGUGGACGUAUACGGUGUGACGCCUGCCCGGUGCCGGAAGGUUAAUUGAUGGGGUUAGCGGUAACGCGAAGCUCUUGAUCGAAGCCCCGGUAAACGGCGGCCGUAACUAUAACGGUCCUAAGGUAGCGAAAUUCCUUGUCGGGUAAGUUCCGACCUGCACGAAUGGCGUAAUGAUGGCCAGGCUGUCUCCACCCGAGACUCAGUGAAAUUGAACUCGCUGUGAAGAUGCAGUGUACCCGCGGCAAGACGGAAAGACCCCGUGAACCUUUACUAUAGCUUGACACUGAACAUUGAGCCUUGAUGUGUAGGAUAGGUGGGAGGCUUUGAAGUGUGGACGCCAGUCUGCAUGGAGCCGACCUUGAAAUACCACCCUUUAAUGUUUGAUGUUCUAACGUUGGCCCGUAAUCCGGGUUGCGGACAGUGUCUGGUGGGUAGUUUGACUGGGGCGGUCUCCUCCUAAAGAGUAACGGAGGAGCACGAAGGUUGGCUAAUCCUGGUCGGACAUCAGGAGGUUAGUGCAAUGGCAUAAGCCAGCUUGACUGCGAGCGUGACGGCGCGAGCAGGUGCGAAAGCAGGUCAUAGUGAUCCGGUGGUUCUGAAUGGAAGGGCCAUCGCUCAACGGAUAAAAGGUACUCCGGGGAUAACAGGCUGAUACCGCCCAAGAGUUCAUAUCGACGGCGGUGUUUGGCACCUCGAUGUCGGCUCAUCACAUCCUGGGGCUGAAGUAGGUCCCAAGGGUAUGGCUGUUCGCCAUUUAAAGUGGUACGCGAGCUGGGUUUAGAACGUCGUGAGACAGUUCGGUCCCUAUCUGCCGUGGGCGCUGGAGAACUGAGGGGGGCUGCUCCUAGUACGAGAGGACCGGAGUGGACGCAUCACUGGUGUUCGGGUUGUCAUGCCAAUGGCACUGCCCGGUAGCUAAAUGCGGAAGAGAUAAGUGCUGAAAGCAUCUAAGCACGAAACUUGCCCCGAGAUGAGUUCUCCCUGAGACUUAGAGUCUCCUGAAGGAACGUUGAAGACGACGACGUUGAUAGGCCGGGUGUGUAAGCGCAGCGAUGCGUUGAGCUAACCGGUACUAAUGAACCGUGAGGCUUAACCUUACAACGCCGAAG